rnacentral:rRNA from 1 species
GGGAGGCUUUGAAGCGUGAACGCCAGUUUGCGUGGAGCCAACCUUGAAAUACCACCCUGGCAACUUUGAGGUUCUAACUCAGGUCCGUUAUCCGGAUCGAGGACAGUGUAUGGUGGGUAGUUUGACUGGGGCGGUCUCCUCCUAAAGAGUAACGGAGGAGUACGAAGGUGCGCUCAGACCGGUCGGAAAUCGGUCGUAGAGUAUAAAGGCAAAAGCGCGCUUGACUGCGAGACAGACACGUCGAGCAGGUACGAAAGUAGGUCUUAGUGAUCCGGUGGUUCUGUAUGGAAGGGCCAUCGCUCAACGGAUAAAAGGUACUCCGGGGAUAACAGGCUGAUACCGCCCAAGAGUUCAUAUCGACGGCGGUGUUUGGCACCUCGAUGUCGGCUCAUCACAUCCUGGGGCUGAAGCCGGUCCCAAGGGUAUGGCUGUUCGCCAUUUAAAGUGGUACGCGAGCUGGGUUUAGAACGUCGUGAGACAGUUCGGUCCCUAUCUGCCGUGGACGUUUGAGAUUUGAGAGGGGCUGCUCCUAGUACGAGAGGACCGGAGUGGACGAACCUCUGGUGUUCCGGUUGUCACGCCAGUGGCAUUGCCGGGUAGCUAUGUUCGGAAGAGAUAACCGCUGAAAGCAUCUAAGC